rnacentral:rRNA from 1 species
UACGUAGGGGGGCUAGCGUUGUUCGGAAUUACUGGGGCGUAAAGCGCACGUAGGCGGCUUUGUAAGUUAGAGGUGAAAGCCCGGGGCUCAACCCCGGAAUUGCCCUUUAAGACUGCAUCGCUAGAAUUGUGGAGAGGUAAGUGGAAUUCCGAGUGUAGAGGUGAAAUUCGUAGAUAUUCGGGAAGAAACACCAGUGGCGAAGGGCGACUUACUGGGACACAUAGUUGACGCUGAGGUGGCGAAAGCGUGGGGAGCAAACAGG